rnacentral:rRNA from 1 species
GCUAAAAGCCGUCCCAGUUCGGAUUGCAGGCUGCAACCCGCCUGCAUGAAGUUGGAAUCGCUAGUAAUCGCGGAUCAGCAUGCCGCGGUGAAUACGUUCCCGGGCCUUGUACACACCGCCCGUCACACCAUGGGAGCCGGUAAUACCCGAAGUCAGUAGUCCAACCUCGUGAGGACGCUGCCGAAGGUAGGAUUGGCGACUGGGGUGAAGUCGUAACAAGGUAUC